rnacentral:rRNA from 1 species
AUACGGAGGAUCCGAGCGUUAUCCGGAUUUAUUGGGUUUAAAGGGAGCGUAGGUGGAUUGUUAAGUCAGUUGUGAAAGUUUGCGGCUCAACCGUAAAAUUGCAGUUGAAACUGGCAGUCUUGAGUACAGUAGAGGUGGGCGGAAUUCGUGGUGUAGCGGUGAAAUGCUUAGAUAUCACGAAGAACUCCGAUUGCGAAGGCAGCUCACUAGACUGCAACUGACACUGAUGCUCGAAAGUGUGGGUAUCAAACAGGAUUAGAUACCCUGGUAGUCCACACAGUAAACGAUGAAUACUCGCUGUUUGCGAUAUACAGUAAGCGGCCAAGCGAAAGCAUUAAGUAUUCCACCUGGGGAGUACGCCGGCAACGGUGAAACUCAAAGGAAUUGACGGGG